UUGAACGCUGGCGGCAUGCCUUACACAUGCAAGUCGAACGGUAGAGGAGCAAUCCUCGAGAGUGGCGAACGGGUGAGUAAUGUAUCGGAACGUGCCCAGUAGUGGGGGAUAGCCCGGCGAAAGCCGGAUUAAUACCGCAUGAUACCUGAGGGUGAAAGCGGGGGACUCGCAAGAGCCUCGCGCUACUGGAGCGGCCGAUAUCAGAUUAGCUAGUUGGUGGGGUAAAAGCCUACCAAGGCGACGAUCUGUAGCUGGUCUGAGAGGACGACCAGCCACACUGGGACUGAGACACGGCCCAGACUCCUACGGGAGGCAGCAGUGGGGAAUUUUGGACAAUGGGCGCAAGCCUGAUCCAGCCAUGCCGCGUGCGGGAAGAAGGCCUUCGGGUUGUAAACCGCUUUUGUCAGGGAAGAAACGGUCUGGGCUAAUACCCUGGGCUAAUGACGGUACCUGAAGAAUAAGCACCGGCUAACUACGU
rnacentral:rRNA from 1 species